GGAUGAUAAACUUAUUUUGAUCUAAUGACGUGCUGUCAGGCACGCCCAAUUGAAAUCAUUUUUAUUUGUAGGUUAAGAAGCACCGGUCACCCCUAUAAAAGGCUUAUAUAAGGCAUUGGACACCGGUCUGGUCGCUAUGGCACAUUAUAUGCUUGUGAUCUUUACUUCCUCAGUUGUAUGUCAAUCUUUUAUU